rnacentral:rRNA from 1 species
CAGUCGCCACGGGAAUACAGAGGGUGCGAGCGUUAAUCGGAUUUACUGGGCGUAAAGCGUGCGUAGGCGGCUUCUUAAGUCGGAUGUGAAAUCCCUGAGCUUAACUUAGGAAUUGCAUUCGAUACUGGUUAGCUAGAGUGUGGGAGAGGAUGGUAGAAUUCCAGGUGUAGCGGUGAAAUGCGUAGAGAUCUGGAGGAAUACCGAUGGCGAAGGCAGCCAUCUGGCCUAACACUGACGCUGAGGUACGAAAGCAUGGGGAGCAAACAGGAUUAGAUACCCCCGUAGUCCCUGUCUCUUAUAC